rnacentral:lncRNA from 1 species
AAGCUGCUGUUCAACUCCUCAUCUCCAGUCCCCAGUGAAUCUCUGGUUCUCAGUGCUAUCAAAACUCUCCGUAAUUCCAGAGAGUCACAGCUCAAUGAAUCGGUGAAGGUGGUGAAUGUCACCUAUGAGAAGAUCUCAGAAACCUCCUAUGCUUUGGUCUUUACAUUCAACGUGAUUAACAUCAGCAUGCCAGAGGACCCUGAGUCUAGAGGCAACACCAACCAGCAAGUGCAGAAUACCAUCAAUAAUGCGCUGAACACUCUUCUGAAUGAACCUGGUAGUCCAAAUUUACAACCCAAGUCCUCUAACUUCACGUAAGAUGCAAACUCACGUCACAAUGUUUAUUUCAUGUGUCCUCACAUUUUAGCUUAUUAAAGCUAUGUAAAGUUACAAAUACCAAAAAAAAAUAAUAAUAAAAAAUAAAUAAAAAAACUUUUUAUGUGGAUUAAAGUCCUUAACAGAUAUAUCUUGUUUAUCUUGCAG